AUGAACGCUAGCGGCAGGCUUAACACAUGCAAGUCGAGGGGUAGAAGGAGCUUGCUCCUUUGAGACCGGCGCACGGGUGCGUAACGCGUAUGCAAUCUACCUUUUGCAGAGGGAUAGCCCAGAGUAAAUUUGGAUUAAUACCUCAUAGUAUGUGAGGAUGGCAUCAUUUUCACAUUAAAGUCACAACGGCAAAAGAUGAGCAUGCGUCCCAUUAGCUAGUUGGUAAGGUAACGGCUUACCAAGGCUACGAUGGGUAGGGGUCCUGAGAGGGAGAUCCCCCACACUGGUACUGAGACACGGACCAGACUCCUACGGGAGGCAGCAGUGAGGAAUAUUGGACAAUGGGCGCAAGCCUGAUCCAGCCAUGCCGCGUGCAGGAUGACGGUCCUAUGGAUUGUAAACUGCUUUUGUACAGGAAGAAACACUACUUCGUGAAGUAGCUUGACGGUACUGUAAGAAUAAGGAUCGGCUAACUCCGUG
rnacentral:rRNA from 1 species